rnacentral:lncRNA from 1 species
UAGAUAGUAUUUAAUUGGUGUGAAACAAUCAAAUAAUUAAGUGCAAGGUUAAAUAAAUAAAUCAAUAUGAUAAAAUAAUAAGAACAAUUUAAGCUUCAAAAUACAACAUUCAUGUAGCACCCUUACUAUGAGGCUAAAAAAAGAGAAGAGAAUAGAAGAAAAACUAGUUAGAAGCCUCCUUCAGGCAUGGUGUGUGUUCUUCCGAGUGAAAUCUCCUUGAAUGUAUGUUCAAUCUCCUUCAAAAUAUGUUCGAUAUAUCCCAAAAUAGGUUUAGUACAUCUUUUAUAUGAAUUGGGUGGGUAUUGGGACAAAAUAGCCUUGUCCAGGGCGAAUUUGGAUAAGUUUCACGCCACCGACAUCCUGCAUAGCGCCAGGAGCCCUCCAUGGUGCUGCUAAUUUGGAGUUUCUAUUUCUGGCGCCACAUGUAGGGCUAGGCACUACCUAUUGCGUUGCAAAUUCCAGUUUUCCUGUUUUCAUCCGUUUUGGCUCUAAUUUCGCACAUUCCGCCCCCAAUUGCUCCUGGAUAAUUUCUAAACAUAAAAAUACCUCAAAUUAAUAUAAAUCAAUACCUUUUACAUCAUAAAUCUACGAAACAAAAGUAAAACAUGAGGCUAUAUAUCUAUAUGUAUACACACACACAUACACACUUUAAGCUAACAUCACCCCCAAUCAUACCUUCCACGAACGAACGAAGCACAUUGAGCUCGAACCUCACUUCAUCUGCCAAUAGUACCUCUCCGGCUUGAUAACCCUUUCUUUUGUACCAUCGCAACAACAUUUCACUGACCUUUUUACAAAAUCAUUAUUGGGAGCUUCGAAUAACUUUAUCUUACACAAGUUGGGAUCCAUUCUUUCACCUCAAACUUGAUGGGAUGUAGAUAAGAAGGAAGGCAUCGAGAUUUUAAUCGAUGAAAGGAAGAAAGGGAAAGAGAAGGGUUUUCAGACAAGAACAUUAGAAAUUUCGAAUUUGUUUAUGUAGUGUAUGGUUUUGGUCUUUUAACUUCAUCAUAAAUAAUGUGACACAUGGAAGCAUGUUAACCCUCAGCUGCUCUUAAUCUCAG